UGCCUGAUGGUGUAACGGUAGCACAGCAGAUUCUGGAUCUGUUUGUCAAGGUUCGAAUCCUUGUCGGGCAGCCA
rnacentral:tRNA from 1 species